UUGAUCAGCACUGAGCCACUCAGACGUAUCAAGAUGAUCUCCCAGGCUCAGUUCAUCUGGCUGUUAGUGCUCUGGAUCCAGGGCUCCAGUGGGCAGAUUGUGAUGACUCAGACUCCAGAAUCCCUGGCAGUGUUGCCAGGAGACAGAGUCACCAUCAACUGCAAAGCCAGUUCAAGCCUCACCAGUGGUAGCACUAACUACUUAAACUGGUACCAACAGAAAUCAGGACAAGCUCCGAAGCUACUUAUCUACUAUGCUUCCACACGUGCCACUGGGAUCCCAGACCGGUUCACAGGCAGUGGAUCUGGAACCGAUUUCACUCUCACAAUCAGCAAUGUUCAAGCUGAAGAUGCUGGAGAUUAUUAUUGUCAGCAAGGCUAUAGCUCACCUCUCACAGUGAUACAGACCAAUACAAAAACCUCCCUGUUCCGUUCCAUUCUGUCGACGGAGAAAUCGACCUUUAUUGGGUGUGACAGGCUUCAGAAGUCAAUGACCCAUAUGACUGCCUGUGGUGAAAGCCAAAAGGUAACAGAUGGAUGGGAUGAGGAAGAGUAA